UGGUGUUGAUUGCGGAGAGGGUCCACCCGUUCUCAUUCCGAACACGGUAGUUAAGCUCUUUCGCGCCGACAAUACUUGGCUGGCGACGGCCCGGGAAAAUAGGUAAUGCC
rnacentral:rRNA from 1 species